CCUUAGCGGCGCAAGAUCGCUCUCUAAUCGAAAUCCUUCAAAUAAAUCAAAAUCUGUGAACCUAUCAACGGAUCAACCACACUAGAUUACGAAGAAUAUGCACCGGUAUCAAUGAAGGAAAACUCGAAGAACUGAUUUAACAAGAAGAUGUUGUUUUUCAUAAUCUAGUGACAUCCAAAAUUCAUAAGGAACAAGAAGAAGAAGCCUUAACUUCAUCAACUAAAGAACAAGAAGAGAUGAAACAAAACCUCUGUGUUAAAAUUGUGUUCCUUUUGUUCUUCACGAAAUCACAAAAUCGAUUUUUUCAUAUGGAUUCUGUUGAAGAAGAAAAUUGGAUUUGUAUUCGGCAGAGAAGUGGCUCAAAAUUGGAGAUGUUUUAGGCAAGUUCUUGAAUCUGAAAAUCAAUCUAAGAAAAUAUAUUGUUGUUCAUUGAUUCUGUGAUGGAAAAUGGUUUUAGAUUGGGUCUGGUGGAGUUCGAGACAGGGAAGAUAAUGGUGGUUAGAAUGGAUAUUUGUUUAGUGGAUUUAGUUUAGAUUCUACUUACUGCCGCAGAAAGAGAGGUGUUGUUGGCUUUUAUGGGGAUGAGCUUGCUGCAGUGAAUACAACCAUCAAAGCAUCAAGUGCCAUUUUUUUUCCGUUUAUUGUUUGUGGCCAUUAUAUAUGGCUUGAAAGUGGAUUAUUUGUGUGUGUUGAAUUGAUGCAGGGAAGGAGAUGAGACAAUGGUUAGAAGAACAAAACAGGUUCAUCACUGCCAACACAUAUCAUGCCAUGUACUGUUCGAUGAAAAUCUCCAAAGGGGAUUCUCUUAUAUUACCAGUCCAUAAGUAACAUUUAGCAGGUUUUGCCAUUGAUUUUGUGGGUUUGUUUUAAGGGUUUUUAAUGACUAACAUGCUGGCUAAAAGUUCUUCUUGCAACAAUCGUUUGGGAUAGAGAGCAGGAACUAAUCCAAGUUUACUUCAAAGGGGAAUGAAGCUAUUGUCAAUGGUUCUCAGUCUAGUGCUAAGUGGUCUACCACUCCUGUAAUAGUAGAUUGUAAUUUUUUUUUCCAAAGUCUUUAUCGUUAUGUGCUUAUAAGCUUGUUAGCAAGUUUUGUAGCCUUAUCGUUUUUUUUUUAUUAUUUAAUACUUGCCAAAGGAGCAUGGU